AAGAGACGUAUGGACCCUUCUUUCAGGAGACCUAUGUCUCGAGUCAAAGCAAGCAAGGCAAGCCUUUGGGGCUCUAGUACUAACUAUCCCCAAAGGUGUUUAUUCUUCUCGUGUAAACCAUGAUGUACGAAAAAGUUAGUUGUUAACUUAAAAACAACUCUUGGCAAUGGAUCUCUUGGUUCUCGCAUCGAUGAAGAGCGUAGCAAAGUGCGAUAAUUAUUGCGACUUGCAUUCAUAGCGAAUCAUCGAGUUCUCGAACGCAUCUUGCGCCUAGUAGUCAAUCUACUAGGCACAGUUGUUUCAGUAUCUGCAACUACCAAUCAGUUCAACUUGGUUUCUUUGAACCUAAGCGAGCUGGAAAUGGGCUUGUGUUGAUGGCAUUCAGUUGCUGUCAUGGCCUUAAAUACAUUUAGUCCUAGGCAUUGGCUUUAGCCAUUUGCCGGAUGUAGACUCUAGAGUGCCUGAGGAGCAACGACUUGGUUAGUGAGUUCAUAAUUCCAAGUCAAUCAGUCUCUUCUUGAACUAGGUCUUAAUCUUUGCGGACUAGUGAGAGGAUCUAACUUGGGUCUUCUCUUUGAACAAACUCACAUCUAGAUCUGAAAUCAACUGAGAUC
rnacentral:rRNA from 1 species